rnacentral:lncRNA from 1 species
UAUUAGUCAUUAUGCAAGACGUUUUUUCUUGGAAUAAAUAAACAAACAAACAAAAAGAACAAAGGAUUCACAAAUUAGAGACAAAUUUAACAAAGAGCUCAUGCAAGCCCCCACUAAUAUCUAAAAGUUCACCACUGCAUAUAAUUCAUAAGUUCGCGAAUCUUCUAGAAAUUAUAAAGGUUGUAUUAAUGAACAACUAAAUGACUGAAACUGCAAAAGAAAUCAAUAUGCAAAUAUUUAAAACUGAAUUUUUCCUAAUAUACUGCAAGGAUAUAAAAAAAGAUAAAAAAAGGGUGUACCACUUAUACCACCAUUUUUUCUCUUGGAAAUGCAAUGGGGUAGGAAGUGGGGAGAGAAAUUUUGAUAAUCAGAGCGUGUCCAGAGAGUCAAAUGGGCACGAUAAAAAUUUUGUGGGCCCACAAGAGGUAGGUGUACAAGGGGCCAAUUUUGAAAUCUCCACUGGAAGCAUGCUUAUUUUGGCAUAAUUGGAUAGAACUGUAAAAAUCAAACAACUUUUGUUUGGAAAGUUUUUUAAUAUCAC